rnacentral:rRNA from 1 species
UACGAAGGGGGCUAGCGUUGCUCGGAAUCACUGGGCGUAAAGCGCACGUAGGCGGAUCUUUUAAGUCAGGGGUGAAAUCCCAAGGCUCAACCUUGGAACUGCCUUUGAUACUGGGGAUCUCGAGUCCGGAAGAGGUGAGUGGAACUGCGAGUGUAGAGGUGGAAUUCGUAGAUAUUAGGAAGAACACCAGUGGCGAAGGCGGCUCACUGGUCCGGUACUGACGCUGAGGUGCGAAAGCGUGGGGAGCAAACAGGG